AAAAAAUAUACAUUUAUUAAAGACUACAGUUAGGGACACUGUAGACACUCUAAGCGUUUCAAAUCAGUGAAGUGAUUAUAGUCCAGAGUACCCAGGCGCUGUCCUUCCAUUCAGGAUUAAACCAUUUUUUAAUGCUAAACGAGAGACCCAGCAACCUAUUCCCUCUGUGUUACUUGAUCUCACGAGGAAGCAUUAGCCUGCGCAGCAAUGGGCGGCUAUCCUUUGCGGAGAUUGUCUACCGACUGCACUCAUCCUAUCACAGUUGCAUUGCAGGUUGGAAUCAGUAUGGCAGCAAGUGUGCAAUCUUUGAUUUAACCACACCUCCUGGGGAACAGGGGCUAUGGGAAACCAGGGGGCUUCAUUCAGUGCUAAAUUGUUUGGAAAUGUCUUAUCCACGAAGUGACAAUGCCUGGGGACUCCAUGCACUAUAA